rnacentral:rRNA from 1 species
AGUCGAGGGGUAACAGGGAGUGCUUGCACUCUGCUGACGACCGGCGCACGGGUGCGUAACGCGUAUGCAACCUACCUUCUACAGGGGGAUAGCCCAGAGAAAUUUGGAAUAAUACCCCAUACGAUCUUUACUUGGCACCGAGUAGAGAAGAAAACUUUUUGUGGUAGAAGAUGGGCAUGCGUCCUAUUAGUUAGUUGGUGAGGUAACGGCUCACCAAGACUUCGAUAGGUAGGGGCCCUGAGAGGGGGAUCCCCCACACUGGUACUGAGGCACGGACCAGACUCCUACGGGAGGCAGCAGUGAGGAAUAUUGGACAAUGGGGGCAACCCUGAUCCAGCCAUGCCGCGUGCAGGAAGACUGCCCUAUGGGUUGUAAACUGCUUUUAUACAGGAAGAAACUGUGCUACGUGUAGUGCACUGACGGUACUGUAAGAAUAAGGAUCGGCUAACUCCGUGCCAGCAGCCGCGGUAAUACGGAGGAUCCAAGCGUUAUCCGGAAUCAUUGGGUUUAAAGGGUCCGUAGGUGGUCCAUUAAGUCAGAGGUGAAAGCCUAUCGCUCAACGAUAGAACUGCCUUUGAUACUGAUGGACUUGAGUUAUUGUGAAGUAGUUAGAAUAUGUAGUGUAGCGGUGAAAUGCAUAGAUAUUACAUAGAAUACCGAUUGCGAAGGCAGAUUACUAACAAUAUACUGACACUGAGGGACGAAAGCGUGGGUAGCGAACAGGAUUAGAUACCCUGGUAGUCCACGCCGUANACGAUGGUCACUAGCUGUUUGACUAACAUUGGUUAGUUGAGUGGCUAAGCGAAAGUGAUAAGUGACCCACCUGGGGAGUACGCUCGCAAGA